rnacentral:rRNA from 1 species
UACGAAGGGGGCUAGCGUUGCUCGGAAUUACUGGGCGUAAAGCGCACGUAGGCGGCUUCUUAAGUCGGUGGUGAAAUCCUGGAGCUCAACUCCAGAACUGCCUUCGAUACUGGGAGCUCGAGUCCGGGAGAGGUGAGUGGAACUGCGAGUGUAGAGGUGAAAUUCGUAGAAUAUUCGCAAGAACACCAGUGGCGAAGGCGGCUCACUGGCCCGGUACUGACGCUGAGACGCGAAAGCGUGGGGAGCAAACAGGG